UCGAGGAUCUUCGGCAAUGGGCGCAAGCCUGACCGAGCGACGCCGCGUGUGGGAUGAAGGCCCUUGGGUUGUAAACCACUGUCAGAGGGGAUGAAGUGCAGGUGGGUAAUCUCAUCUGUUUGACAUAGCCUCAGAGGAAGCACGGGCUAAGUUCGUGCCAGCAGCCGCGGUAAUACGAACUGUGCAAACGUUAUUCGGAAUCACUGGGCUUAAAGGGUGCGUAGGCGGUCGUUUAAGUAGGGUGUGAAAGCCCUCGGCUCAACCGAGGAAUUGCGCCCUAAACUGGAUGGCUGGAGUGAGAUAGGGGUGUGUGGAACUUCCGGUGGAGCGGUGAAAUGUGUUGAUAUCGGAAGGAACGCCGGUGGCGAAAGCGACACACUGGGUCUCAACUGACGCUGAGGCACGAAAGCCAGGGGAGCAAACGGGAUUAGAUACCCCCGUAGUCC
rnacentral:rRNA from 1 species